rfam:Dipodomys ordii contig_54664, whole genome shotgun sequence.
GGCUCAGUGGUAGAGCGCUUGCCUCGCAUGCAUGAGGCCCUGGGUUCGAUUCCUCAG